AGACUGCUGAAGAGUCCUAUACUAGGACAAAAUGAUCGUCCAGUGU
rfam:Schistosoma haematobium scaffold1226_2, whole genome shotgun sequence.